GAUACAGUGGUCAAGUUGCAUUGGGGGGCUGGACCUCUCUAUAGACAUGAGAUGUUGUAGGGUAAAGGUGGGGUUGGGCACCAAUAACUGUUAGGUGAGGACCCAAUGACGACUUUAUUCCUACGGUUAUACAGUGGGUCUGACUUAACUAAGAAAUGAGACCAAUAACUGUUAGGUGAGGUCUUCAUGGCUUAGAGACCAAGUUGCACUGCAACAUGCUUGAGAAGCAUUGUACAAGAGUUGUACACUCAUCCAUCUAUGUGUCACCAAUAACUGUUAGGUGAGGUGGCGUGUAAAUUGGUGGGACCGCAGUACCCACUAGAAACCCUAGUCGUGUGGGAUUUCCGUUUUCCUACCAGGGGAGUGUGAGGGAUUCGAGAAAAUAGUGGGAGUUACAUUUGUUCUAAAAAGACCUUAGGACAGAUUAGGAUCAAGUACAAAAGUCUAACUAGAAUCUUUACUCUCUGCAGAUACAAUGUCGGGUUCAAACCCUUUGACCCGCAUUCUUGAAACCAACCGACUGACCGGAACCAAUUACAAGGACUGGCUUAGAAAUCUCAAAAUAGUUUUGAACUGUGAGAAGAUA
rnacentral:lncRNA from 1 species